GAUGAACGCUAGCGGCAGGCCUAACACAUGCAAGUCGAACGGCAGCAUAAAAUAAACUUGUUUAUUUGGUGGCGACCGGCGCACGGGUGCGUAACUCGUAUGCAACUUACCUUACAUAGGGGGAUAGCCCGGAGAAAUUCGGAUUAAUACCCCAUAGCACCAUCGGAUGGGAUCAUUUGAGAUUUAAAGCUUUGGCGGUGUAAGCUGGUGAUUCGUCCUAUUAGCUAGUUGGUGAGGGAACGGCUCAACGAGGCUACGAAAGGUAGGGGGCCGGAGAGGGUGGUCCCCCGCACUGGUGCUGAGACACGGACCAGACUCCUACGGGAGGCAGCAGUGAGGAAGAUUGGUCAAUGGGCGCAAGCCUGGACCAGCCAUGCCGCGUGAAGGAUGAAGGUUCUAUGGAUUGUAAACUUCUUUUAUUUGGGAAUAAACCCUUUUACGUGUAGAGGGCUGAAGGUACCAGAUGAAUAAGCACCGGCUAACUCCGUGCCAGCAGCCGCCGUAACAC
rnacentral:rRNA from 1 species